CCCCUAGAUGUUCUGGGCCGCACGCGCGCUACACUGAACAGUUCAACAAGUCUUAACCUUGGCCGAUAGGUCUGGGUAAUCUUUGAACGCUGUUCGUGAUUGGGAUAGACCUUUGCAAUUAUGGGUCUUCAACGAGGAAUUCCUAGUAAACGCAAGUCAUCAGCUUGCAUUGAUUACGUCCCUGCCCUUUGUACACACCGCCCGUCGCACCUACCGAUUGAAUGGUCCGGUGAAAUCUCGGGACGGCGGCUUGGUCGCUUGCGUCCGACUGCUGAAACUUUAUUAAACCAUAUCAUUUAGAGGAAGGUGAAGUCGUAACA
rnacentral:rRNA from 1 species